AGUGUCUCCACCCCUAUGGUUCAGCUCGGAUACUGAAGUCCAGCUUCAAGGACCUUCUGGCAGUUCCCUCACUGUGAGAAGUCAAACUACAGGGAACCAAGCAGAGGGCCUUCUUGAUAGUGGUGCCCACCCCGUGAAACUCCCUCCCAUCAGACGUCAAGGAAAUAAACAACUGACUUAUAGAAGACAUCUGAAGGCAGCCCUGUUUCGGGAAGUUUUUAAAGUUUGAUGUUUUAUUCUGUUUUUAGUUUUCCGUUGGGAGCCACCCAGAGUGGCUGAGGAGAAAUAAUAAAAUUGUUGUUGUUGUUGUUGUUGUUAUGAAAUGGAGAAUUCCAGAACUGCUUUCAGUGUAAGAAUGAUAGAAGGAAGACAGACGUGAAAGCAGUUUGCAAGUUUAUGGCCCCCAUUCAUGAUAUUAAAAGUAAUAACCAGCUAGAAAUGUUUGAUGCAUUUCCGUUGUUAAAGUGAUAAGCUUCAAAAUACCAUGGAUAAAUGAUUAAGCACACUUUCAUUGGGAGUGGCAAGUAUAGGAAAUACAAUAUUAUACUAUAUUAAAAGAUAGAAUUAUUUUGUGGGGG